rnacentral:rRNA from 1 species
CCUACGGGAGGCUGCAGUGAGGAAUAUUGGUCAAUUGACGAGAGUCUGAACCAGCCAAGUAGCGUGAAGGAUGACUGCCCUAUGGGUUGUAAACUUCUUUUAUAUGGGAAUAAAAUGUUCCACGUGUGGGAUUUUGUAUGUACCAUAUGAAUAAGGAUCGGCUAACUCCGUGCCAGCAGCCGCGGUAAUACGGAGGAUCCGAGCGUUAUCCGGAUUUAUUGGGUUUAAAGGGAGCGUAGGUGGAUUGUUAAGUCAGUUGUGAAAGUUUGCGGCUCAACCGUAAAAUUGCAGUUGAAACUGGCAGUCUUGAGUACAGUAGAGGUGGGCGGAAUUCGUGGUGUAGCGGUGAAAUGCUUAGAUAUCACGAAGAACUCCGAUUGCGAAGGCAGUUCACUGGACUGCAACUGACACUGAGGCUCGAAAGUGUGGGUAUCAAACAGGAUUAGAUACCCGAGUAGUC